rnacentral:rRNA from 1 species
UAUCUCUGUAGAGUCUGCAUAUCAAUAAGCGGAGGAAAAGAAACUAACUAGGAUUCCCUCAGUAACGGCGAGUGAAGCGGGAAGAGCUCAAAUUUGAAAUCUUAAAGGGUUUCCCUUUACGAAUUGUAGUUUAAAGAAGUGUUUUCUGUUGGAGUUUCGGUAAAAGUUCUUUGGAAUAGGACAUCAUAGAGGGUGAGAAUCCCGUAUUUGACCGUUAUUUUCAGCUGUGUGAUACACUUUCAAAGAGUCGGAUUGUUUGGGAAUGCAGUCCAAAAUGGGUGGUAAAUUUCAUCUAAAGCUAAAUACUGGCGAGAGACCGAUAGCGAACAAGUACCGUGAGGGAAAGAUGAAAAGAACUUUGAAAAGAGAGUUAAACAGUACGUGAAAUUGUCAAAAGGGAAGCGUUUGACACCAGUGUUGUUUUCUCGAAAAUCAAUUAAAAAUGGCUGGAUUUUGGGUUGUAUUGACUUUAUCAGCUUUCUGCACUCUUUUCAUGUCUUUUUUAAUGCACUUUUCGUUUAACAAGUCAACAUCAAUUUCUUUUGUUGUAAAAAGGGUCAUUGGAAGGUGGCUUUCUUUUCGGAGAAAGUGUUUAUAGCCUUUGACUCCUGCAAUCGGAGAGACUGAGGUCUGCAGCGUAGAUCCUUCGGGGUUAGAUACAUUUGUGCUAAGUUAUAGCUUUUCAUAGACAACUUGUUGACUUAUGUUAAGUCUUGUAAUCUUACUCGCAGUAUGCUAUUUUACCUACGCUUAGGAUGUUGAGUAGCGACAUACGCAC